CGCAAACCAUAUUGCGGGUUUUUCAGG
rnacentral:sRNA from 1 species